UUCCGGUUGAUCCUGCCGGAAGAUACCGCUAUUCGGAUUCAACUAAAACAUGCGAGUCGAGAGUCUUCGGGACUCGACGAACUGCUCAGUAAUAUGUAUUUAACCUAACCUAAAGUCAGGGAUAAUGUCGGGAAACUGACGCUAAUACCUGAUAAAUAUUCUGGUCUGGAAUGAUAAAAUAUCAAAAGAUCCGUCGCUUUAGGAUGGGACUAUAUCUUAUCAUUCUGUUGGGAGUGUAAUGUACCCCCAAAACUAUAACGGGUACGGGCCAUGAAAGUGGGAACCCGGAGAUGGAUUCUGAAACAUGAAUCCAGGUCCUACGGGACGCAGCAGUUACGAAACCUUCACUAUGCAUUAACGUGCGAUGGGGGAAUCUGAAGUGUUUAUGCUUUGCAUAAACUUUUGCCAAGUUGAAAUAGCUUGGCGAAUAAGGGGGGGGUAAAACAAGUGCCACCCGCCGCGGUAAUACUUGCCCCCUGAGUGGUAUCCGGUAUUAGUUGGUCUAAAGCGUCCGUACCCGGUCUAAUAAUUUCUUGGUGAAAUUCAUUGGAAAACUGGUGAGCCUGCCAAGAAUACUGUUAAACUUGGGAUCGGGAGAGGGUAGAGGUACUGCUGGGGAAGGGGUAAAAUCCUAUAAUCCCAGUGGGACCACUUGUGGCGAAGGCUUCUACCUAGAACAAGUCCGACGGUGAGGGACGAAACCUAAGGUAGCGAUCGAGAUUAGAUACCCCGGUAGUCUUAGGUGUAACCGAUGCCCACUUGGUGUUACAACCCUUACGAGGGUUUGUAGUGCCCGAGCGUAGGGUGUUAUGUGGGCCCCCUGGGGAGUGACGACCGCAGGUUGAAACUUUAGGGGAUUUGGCGGGGGAGACACAAGGAGUGGAGGGCUACGGUUCAUUUGGAUUCACGCCGG
rnacentral:rRNA from 1 species